rnacentral:rRNA from 1 species
CCUACGGGUGGCAGCAGUGAGGAAUAUUGGUCAAUGGGCUUACGCCUGAACCAGCGACGCCGCGUGAGUGAAGAAGUAUUUCGGUACGUAAAGCUCUAUCAGCAGGAAAGAAAAUGACGGUACCUGACUAAGAAGCCCCGGCUAACUACGUGCCAGCAGCCGCGGUAAUACGUAGGGGGCAAGCGUUAUCCGGAAUUACUGGGUGUAAAGGGAGCGUAGACGGCUGUGCAAGUCUGGAGUGAAAGGCGGGGGCCCAACCCCCGGACUGCUCUGGAAACUGUAUGGCUGGAGUGCAGGAGAGGUAAGCGGAAUUCCUAGUGUAGCGGUGAAAUGCGUAGAUAUUAGGAGGAACACCAGUGGCGAAGGCGGCUUACUGGACUGUAACUGACGUUGAGGCUCGAAAGCGUGGGGAGCAAACAGGAUUAGAUACCCCAGUAGUC